rnacentral:lncRNA from 1 species
UGGGAAUCGCGAUUCGAGCAGCUCAUCCAGCUCCAAACUUCUCAGUUCCAGGCUAUCCAGCAGCUGAUUAGCAGUAAUCAGGUAAGUCAACCAAUGUUUAUGCUUGUUCAGUUUAUCUCGUUGAAAACCUACAGCUGAGGCCUCUACCGCAAUUGCAAUCCUCUGACGAUCAAAAUCGACAUUUGCUGCAUGAAAACCACCACCACCACGAUCAAUCACCAACAUCAAUCGUUCGCGCAAUCAAUGGUGGCUUUCAGGUGUGCAUGAACUUCAA